rnacentral:rRNA from 1 species
UGCCUCAGUACGGCGAGUGAGCGGCAACAGCUCAAAUUUGAAAUCUGGCCGCAAGGUCCGAGUUGUAAUUUGCAGAGGAUGCUUUUGGCGAGGUGCCUUCCGAGUUCCCUGGAACGGGACGCCAUAGAGGGUGAGAGCCCCGUACGGUUGGACCACCGAGCCUCUGUAAAGCUCCUUCGACGAGUCGAGUAGUUUGGGAAUGCUGCUCUAAAUGGGAGGUGUACGUCUUCUAAAGCUAAAUACCGGCCAGAGACCGAUAGCGCACAAGUAGAGUGAUCGAAAGAUGAAAAGCACUUUGAAAAGAGGGUUAAAAAGUACGUGAAAUUGUUGAAAGGGAAGCGUUUAUGACCAGACUUGGGCUUGGUUGAACAUCCGGCGUUCUCGCCGGUGCACUCUGCCAGUCCAGGCCAGCAUCAGUUUGUCCCGGGGGAUAAAGGCGGUGGGAAUGUGGCUCCCCCGGGAGUGUUAUAGCCCGCCGUGCAAUGCCCUGGGACGGACUGAGGAACGCGCUUCGGCACGGAUGCUGGCGUAAUGGUCAUCAACGACCCGUCUUGAACCAACGGACCA